rnacentral:rRNA from 1 species
GACGAACGCUGGCGGCGUGCCUAAUACAUGCAAGUAGGACGCAGUUGCGAACGGGUGAGUAACGCGUCGGUAACUGCCUAUUAGAGGGGGAUAACUAUUGGAAACGAUAGCUAAUACCGCAUACUAGUAGAUGGACCUGCGUUGUAUUAGCUAGUAGGUAGGGUAAUGGCCUACCUAGGCGACGAUACAUAGCCGACCUGAGGGGGUGCACGGCCCAACUGGGACUGGGGCACGGCCCAGGCUCCUACGGGGGGCAGCAGUAGGGAAUCUUCGGAAAUGGGGGGAACGCUGACCGAGCAACGCCGCGGGAGUGAAGGAGGUUUUCGGGUCGUAAAGCUCUGUUGUUAAGGAAGCGGUACUUAACCAGAAAGGGACGGCUAACUACGUGCCAGCCGCCGCGGUAAUUC